GUUGGCUCUCUUCCUGUACCGCCAGCUGAAAAAUGCGUCCGAGCAGCGGCACCGAGUCCAUGGCGAGGAUCUGCGAUCUAAAGGUCCAAAUUCUCGGCAGACAAUCGUUUAGGACUUGCGGAAGCUAAAUCAGGAGCGAAGUCGCUCUGAUACCAUGAAAGAAAGCAAGACCGAAGACAAGGAGAGAUGGCUUUGAGAGAAAAUUCAAUGUAUAUUUUCUAUGUAUUGUUCGAUACACGAUGUACACAUUUAUAAUACAAUGCGUAAAUGAAUAAUGGAAAUAAAAUAUUCUACAAAUCAAA